GGCUCGAUGGCGGAUGGUCCGCGUCGGUUUCUCGUGUCGCAAGACAGAUCUGAUUAUGUAUGCCGGAGACGCCCGUUCGACUCGGGCUCGAGCCA